UGAGGAAUAUUGGUCAAUGGGCGAGAGCCUGAACCAGCCACGUCGCGUGAAGGAAGACUGACCUUACGGUUUGUAAACUUCUUUUGUAGAGGGGUAAUGGCAGAUACGUGUAUUUGCGUGAAAGUACUCUACGAAUAAGCAUCGGCUAACUCCGUGCCAGCAGCCGCGGUAAUACGGGGGAUGCGAGCGUUAACCGGAAUUAUUGGGUUUAAAGGGUGCGCAGGUGGCUAAUCAGGUCAGUGGUGAAAAGCUAUGGCUCAACCAUGGUCUUGCCAUUGAAACCGUAUAGCUACGGAGGAGACGAGGUAGGCGGAAUGUGUGGUGUAGCGGUGAAAUGCAUAGAUAUCACACAGAACUCCGAUUGCGAAGGCAGCUUACCAGGCUUUAUCUGACACUUAGGCACGACAGCGUGGGGAUCAAACAGG
rnacentral:rRNA from 1 species